GCCAAGCAAUUGCACGUUAGUGUAAUUUUUAAAAAAAGUUGUUGACUUUGAAGAAGUGACGUUGUAUACUAAUAAAGUUGCUUUAACAAAGCGGACAAACAAAAUGAUCUUUGAAA
rnacentral:rRNA from 1 species